rnacentral:tRNA from 2 species
GUUAUUUUGGCAGAUUAGUGCACCGAAUUUAGAAUUCGAUUAUGUAUUUAUUACAAAUAAUA